rnacentral:lncRNA from 1 species
AGGCCUCCCGCCUGUGCGGCUUCUUUCAACUCGAUGAGAGGAGGACUCCUCCUGGGCCUGGUGCUUCGAGGUCCAGACGAGCAGACACUGGCGCCUGUGACCCUGCAGCGGACGCCCUUCAAAGUCCGUGUGGCCGCAUUUGGAAGCCUGGGCGGCGUGGAGACGGCGCCUUCAGCUUGAGAUAAAUGUGGCCCCGUCCCAGAGCACCACCCGAGACAUCAGGAGCCCAUCGUGGGCUAGGGAAGAUCCUCCGGGACCUAACGGCCCAGGUCUUCCACCCUUGGCCACCUCCCCAGGUGAUGCCUGAAGCUCAAGGGACUGUGUCCACCCUCAGGCCCUGCCCGUGGCUCUGGAUCGGCGGUCCCCAUCAGAGGCCUGGGCUGAGUCCUCAGGGGUCGACGCAGGUCCUCUGGGCAGCAUGGGGUGGUGCCGGGUGGACCCCACGGUGGCCUGUGUUCGCCACGUGGCCGUGGGUCAGUUCCUCGCUGGAGGAGACCCUUCCCCAGACACCUGCCGGGCACCCAGCCAAACCCUUGAGGCCUGGGAAGGUCUCUGGAUGCCACCCUACACCCCGCCCAGACUCCUCUCCCUGUGGUUCCUGGACAGAACAUUCCGUCACCACGAAACGAAGUUUGCCCAGGCCCUGCCUUCACCCUGGGAAAACCCAGCCGGGCAUGGGAAGGAGGAAUGCUGCCCGCCUGCCCGCCCAGACCAGAGUCGCCCCACAUGCCAGGCCAGGCCCGCAUCCUCCUGGGGCACACGGGAGCCCCAGGCUUCCCGGCAGGAAAAGCCCCCCACCGCAGAAGGGCUGGUCUCUGGUGGGGAGUUGCUGCUGGGUGGGGUGACCACAGGGCGGGGUUCAGGCUGGGGUAUUUUUAAUGAUGUAGUUGCAUCUGGUCACCGCCCCCUGCCACCCCCGAUUCUUUCCUGCCCUCCCCACCUUGUGACCCAGACUGUGGCUUGAAUUAAGAAUGUUUUCAGAUAAGUACACGCCUUUGAGGUUAAAAGUAUGCCUAAUGAUUAAACACCAGACAGAGAUCCCCACAGGAGAAGA